UGGGGAAUAUUGGGCAAUGGGCGCAAGCCUGACCCAGCAACGCCGCGUGAAGGAAGAAGGCUUUCGGGUUGUAAACUUCUUUUGUCAGGGACGAAGCAAGUGACGGUACCUGAGGAAUAAGCCACGGCUAACUACGUGCC
rnacentral:rRNA from 1 species